CCCUGGGAGUAUCAUACCAACUUGAGUAACCAUUAGGUGAAAGAGGAUACGUUGAAUAGGAAA
rnacentral:sRNA from 12 species